AACUCCGGUGGCCUAGUGGUUAGAGCGUCCGCCUCGGAUGCGGGAAGUCGUUGGUUCUAUCACCGGUUGAGUCA